rnacentral:rRNA from 1 species
GACGAACGCUGGCGGCGUGCUUAACACAUGCAAGUCGAACGAUGAAGAAGAGAAACGCGAACUUCGGUUCAAAUUUCACUUCGGAUUAGUGGCAGACGGGUGAGUAACGCGUGAGCAACCUACCUCUUACAAAGGGAUAGCCUCGGGAAACCGUGAUUAAUACCAUAUGACACAUUCAUAAGGCAUCUUAAGAAUGUUAAAGCUACGGCGGUAAGAGAUGGGCUCGCGUCCCAUUAGCUAGUUGGUGAGGUAACGGCCCACCAAGGCGACGAUGGGUAACCGGCCUGAGAGGGUGAACGGUCACAUUGGAACUGAGACACGGUCCAAACUCCUACGGGAGGCAGCAGUGGGGAAUAUUGCACAAUGGAGGGAACUCUGAUGCAGCGACGCCGCGUGAGCGAUGAAGGAAUUCGUUUCGUAAAGCUCUGCUCUAUGGGAAGAAAAGGACUGUACCAUAGGAGAAAGCCCCGGCUAAAUACGUG